rnacentral:rRNA from 1 species
UACGGGGGGGGCAAGCGUUGUUCGGAAUUACUGGGCGUAAAGGGCUCGUAGGCGGCCAACUAAGUCGGAUGUGAAAUCCCCAAGCUUAACUUGGGAACUGCAUCCGAUACUGGAUGGCUUGAAUCCGGGAGAGGGAUGCAGAAUUCCAGGUGUAGCGGUGAAAUGCGUAGAUAUCUGGAGGAAUACCGGUGGCGAAGGCGGCAUCCUGGACCGGCAUUGACGCUGAGGAGCGAAAGCGUGGGGAGCAAACGGG